AACGAACGCUGGCGGCAGGCUUAACACAUGCAAGUCGAACGCCCCGCAAGGGGAGUGGCAGACGGGUGAGUAACGCGUGGGAACAUACCUCUCGGUACGGAAUAGCUCAGGGAAACUUGAAUUAAUACCGUAUACGCCGUAUUGGGAAAGAUUUAUCGCCGAGAGAUUGGCCCGCGUUAGAUUAGCUAGUUGGUGGGGUAAUGGCCUACCAAGGCUACGAUCUAUAGCUGAUCUGAGCGGAUGAUCAGCCACACUGGGACUGGGACACGGCCCAAACUCCUACGGGAGGCAGCAGUGGGGAAUCUUGGACAAUGGGCGCAAGCCUGAUCCAGCCAUGCCGCGUGAAUGACGAAGGCCUUAGGGUUGUAAAGUUCUUUCACCGGGGAAGAUAUGACGGUACCCGGAGAGGAAGCCCCGGCUAACUUCGUGCCAGCCGCCGCUGUAA
rnacentral:rRNA from 1 species